ACACCAUGGGAGUGGGUUUUACCAGAAGUGGCUAGUCUAACCGCAAGGAGGACGGUCACCACGGUAGGAUUCAUGACUGGGGUGAAGUCGUAACAAGGUAGCCGUAUCGGAAGGUGCGGCUGGAUCACCUCCUUUCUCG
rnacentral:rRNA from 1 species